AGAAAACAAUUGGUGUUUUAUAGAGCCACAAUAUUUGCUAUCUGAUUUCUACUCUGUAGACGCGAAAAGAGGUUCCUCUCCACCAAGAAUACAAGAGGAUCCAGGAGAAGUAGAAAAGAACAGAGUUUUUAAGGUCGAUCUGAAAUAUGAAGACCAGCUUAAGAAGUGGAGCAGAAGGGCGGAUGGUUUAUGUGAACAAGUAUAAGUACAAGUACAAGGAUGAAGCAACUUCAAGAAUGUGAACAAUGUUGAUGGAUAUCAUAGGUCUACAAGCUCAGCAACUAUGAUGCGACCCAAGCUCAGCCCGUUCUCCAACUGAAUGGAAUCAAUGUAGGAUCUAAUAUUCUGGCAGUCAGUAUUGAUUGAGGGUUUUGUUUGAAUCAUAUCUUUAGUUUUGGUUGUGGCCAAUCGUUUUCAUUUUAUCUACUACAUACUAUAUAAUUCCACUCUGA